GAUUACAGUGUCAAAAGGUCUGAACCCACUUGUGCUUGCACAAUAGUGGGGGGAAUGACCUUGGGACACGCCCCAAAAUGAGCAUAAAAGUGGAGCGUAAGCUUCACGAUAUGCGAAUAUUGGGGAGGAUUGUGGGAGUGCGAAGCACGAAACAAUCCGUGUA
rnacentral:sRNA from 1 species